rnacentral:rRNA from 1 species
CCUACGGGAGGCAGCAGUGGGGAAUAUUGGGCAAUGGGCGCAAGCCUGAUCCAGCAACGCCGCGUGAAGGAAGAAGGCUUUCGGGUUGUAAACCUCUUUUAUCAGGGACGAAAAAAGUGAUGCUACCUUAUGAAUAAGCCACUGCUAACUACGUGCCAGCAGCCGCUGUAAUACGUAGGCGGCAAGCGUUAUCCGGAUUUACGGGGUGUAAAGGGUGAGUAGGCGGGAGUGCAAGUCAGAUGUGAAAAUUAUGGGCUCAACCCAUGGCCUGUAGUUGAAACUGUACUGCUUGAGUGCAGGAGAGGCAAGCGGAAUUCCGUGUGUAGCGGUGAAAUGCGUAGAUAUAAGGAGGAACACCAGUGGCGAAGGCGGAUUGCUGGACAGUAACUGACGCUGAGGCGCGAAAGCGUGGGGAGCAAACAGGAUUAGAUACCCCUGUAGUC